UACGAAAGGGGCUAGCGUUGUUCGGCCUUACUGGGCGUAAAGCGCACGUCGGCGGCCUUGUACGUUGGGGGUGAAAUCCCGGAGCUCAACUCCGGAACUGCCUCCAAAACUACAAAGCUCGAGGAUGUGAGAGGAGAGUGGAAUUCCGAGUGUAGAGGUGAAAUUCGUAGAUAUUCGGAAGAACACCAGUGGCGAAGGCGACUCUCUGGCACAUUUCUGACGCUGAGGUGCGAAAGCGUGGGGAGCAAAUAGG
rnacentral:rRNA from 1 species